CCUACGGGUGGCAGCAGUGAGGAAUAUUGGUCAAUGGAGGCAACUCUGAACCAGCCAAGUAGCGUGCAGGAUGACGGCCCUACGGGUUGUAAACUGCUUUUAUGCGGGGAUAAACUGACUCACGUGUGGCUCAUUGCAUGUACCGUAUGAAUAAGGACCGGCUAAUUCCGUGCCAGCAGCCGCGGUAAUACGGAAGGUCCGGGCGUUAUCCGGAUUUAUUGGGUUUAAAGGGAGCGUAGGCCGCCUGUCAAGCGUGCUGUGAAAUGCCCGGGCUCAACCCGGGCCGUGCAGCGCGAACUGGCGGGCUUGAGUUCGCGGAAGGUAGGCGGAAUUCGUGGUGUAGCGGUGAAAUGCUUAGAUAUGACGAAGAACUCCGAUUGCGAAGGCAGCUUACCGUAGCGUAACUGACGCUGAGGCUCGAAAGUGCGGGUAUCGAACAGGAUUAGAUACCCGUGUAGUC
rnacentral:rRNA from 1 species